CACAAUGGCCAUAACCACAGGCAUAGGUUUCAUCUAUAUAUCAAUUACUAAUCACAUGCAUAUAGGAAAUAUGGAUUUGUGCCCACAAUGGCCAUAACCACAGGCAUAGGUUUCUUCUAUCGCUUAAAGAAAGCGGACUCGAUAGCAUCAAAUUUGCAAAUAGAUGUCCAUGGCAUUAUGAGUAGCCUACUGGAUAUGUUUAUUAAGAUAAGAAAAAAAAAUCACAAUUCAUCUUUAGACUCGAUCGGUGUAAAAGCACUUGGUUGGUAUCAAAUGAUUUGAGUGGGAAAUAGAGAAUACAAAAUCAAACACUUGAUUCUGUAAUGUAAAUCCAGUACUUGGAAUCAUCGAUACUCGAAACCCCAGCAUCGAUGGAUGAUUUGGUCCGCACAUUUUGGAGUUGAAGCAAGCAUCAGCUUUCCUGUCUCGUCGUCAUGGUUUCAGAAUUAGACACUUGAUAUGAAAGAUCGGAGGCUGAGUGAUACCGAGUUGAAUGGUGUUGUUGGGGGAUGGGUUGAAGCAGAUAAACUCGUUUGCCACUGACAGACAAUUAUAGUUCUGCCGAAAGCUGGAAUUGGCUUCUACAGUUUGAAGUUGAGGAAUGAGCUGCAAUGACC
rnacentral:lncRNA from 1 species